rnacentral:lncRNA from 1 species
GAAAUAUCCGGUGCAGUUGUCACUUUUUGUGUGACUAGAACAACCAAUGUGGCUGCAGCGACUUAAGCUUGCUGGCUUUCCUUCUCUUUACUUCAUAGGCAUUUGAGUAGAUGACUUAACACUCUUCAGCAGAAGUAGCCACUCUAUCGCCAUGUCAUUGAAGUAUUUAAACCUCCUGUUGCAACGAGUUAGGAACAUUUCCAGAAGAUAUAGUUACCUGAGAACUUCAGCAUCCUUUGGCGCAGUCUGGUGAGAUUUCAGCCCAACACUCCCAUCCCCAAAGGCCAUUUUUCUUCAGAACCUGACCAGUCAACCUGUUCAAGACACACAAGCAGGUAAUUCCCAG